rnacentral:pre_miRNA from 1 species
GAUAUACUCCCUCCGUUCGGAAUUACUUGUCUCGGAAAUGGAUGUAUCUAGAACUAAAAUACAUCUAGAUACAUCUAUUUUUGCGACAACUAAUUCCGAACGGAGGGAGUACAUA